GAUGAACGCUAGCGGGAGGCUUAACACAUGCAAGUCGAGGGGUAAAUGGUAGCAAUACUAUGAGACCGGCGAACGGGUGCGUAACGCGUAUGCAACUUACCUUAUGCAGGGGGAUAGCCCGUGGAAACGCGGAUUAAUAUCCCAUAGAUCAGUAAUAUCGCAUGGUAUAACUGGUAAAACUCAGGUGGCAUAAGAUGGGCAUGCGUCUGAUUAGCUAGUUGGUAGGGUAACGGCCUACCAAGGCGACGAUCAGUAGGGGUUCUGAGAGGAUUAACCCCCACACUGGUACUGAGACACGGACCAGACUCCUACGGGAGGCAGCAGUGAGGAAUAUUGGUCAAUGGGCGCAAGCCUGAACCAGCCAUCCCGCGUGAAGGAAGAAGGCCCUACGGGUUGUAAACUUCUUUUCUGUUUGAAGAAUAAGCUCGUCGAGACGAGUGAUGCCGGUAGGACAGGAAUAAGCAUCGGCUAACUCCGUGCCAGCAGCCGCGGUAA
rnacentral:rRNA from 1 species